rnacentral:rRNA from 1 species
GCCAGACUCCUACGGGAGGCAGCAGUGGGGAAUAUUGCACAAUGGGCGCAAGCCUGAUGCAGCCAUGCCGCGUGUAUGAAGAGGGCCUUCGGGUUGUAAAGUACUUUCAGCGGGGAGGAAGGUGUUGUGGUUAAUAACCACAGCAAUUGACGUUACCCGCAGAAGAAGCACCGGCUAACUCCGUGCCAGCAGCCGCGGUAAUACGGAGGGUGCGAGCGUUAAUCGGAAUUACUGGGCGUAAAGGGCACGCAGGCGGUCUGUCAAGUCGGAUGUGAAAUCCCCGGGCUCAACCUGGGAACUGCAUUCGAAACUGGCAGGCUGGAGUCUUGUAGAGGGGGGUAGAAUUCCAGGUGUAGCGGUGAAAUGCGUAGAGAUCUGGAGGAAUACUGGUGGCGAAGGCGGCCCCCUGGACAAAGAUUGACGCUCAGGUGCGAAAGCGUGGGGAGCAAACAGGAUUAGAUACCCCAGUACU